rnacentral:rRNA from 1 species
GAUGAACGCUGGCGGCGUGCCUAAUACAUGCAAGUCGAGCGAACAGACGAGGAGCUUGCUCCUCUGACGUUAGCGGCGGACGGGUGAGUAACACGUGGAUAACCUACCUAUAAGACUGGGAUAACUUCGGGAAACCGGAGCUAAUACCGGAUAAUAUAUUGAACCGCAUGGUUCAAUAGUGAAAGACGGUUUUGCUGUCACUUAUAGAUGGAUCCGCGCCGCAUUAGCUAGUUGGUAAGGUAACGGCUUACCAAGGCAACGAUGCGUAGCCGACCUGAGAGGACGAUCAGCGUGAAUGGGACGGAGACACGGCCCAGACUCAUACGGGAGGAAGCAGUGGGGAAUAUUGCAAAAUGGGGGGAACACUGAACCAGCCAUGCCGCGUGAGUGAUGAAGGCCUUAGGGUUGUAAAGCGCUUGUGACCGGGCAGAUAAUGACGGUACAGGGAGAAGAAGCCCCGGCUAGCUUCGUG